UACGUAGGUGGCAAGCGUUGUCCGGAAUUAUUGGGCGUAAAGCGCGCGCAGGCGGUCCUUUAAGUCUGAUGUGAAAGCCCACGGCUCAACCGGUGGAGGGUCAUUGGGAAACUGGGGGACUUGAGUACAGAAGAGAAGAGUGGAAUUCCACGUGGUAGCAGUGAAAUGCGUAGAGAUGUGGAGGAACACCGAUGGCGAAGGCAGGUCUCU
rnacentral:rRNA from 1 species